AAUAGGUAUGCUUAGGGAGGAGCUUGCGUCACAUUAGUUAGUUGGUGGGGUAAAGGCUUACCAAGACUAUGAUGUGUAGCCGGGCUGAGAGGUUGAACGGCCACAUUGGGACUGAGACACGGCCCAAACUCCUACGGGAGGCAGCAGUAGGGAAUUUUCGGCAAUGGAGGAAACUCUGACCGAGCAACGCCGCGUGAACGAUGAAGUAUUUCGGUACGUAAAGUUCUUUUAUUAGGGAAGAAUAAAUGAUGGAAAAAUCAUUCUGACGGUACCUAAUGAAUAAGCCCCGGCUAACUAUGUGCCAGCAGCCGCGGUAAUACAUAGGGGGCAAGCGUUAUANUCCGGAAUUAUUGGGAGUAAAGGGUGCGUAGGCGGUUAAAUAAGUUUUAUGGUCUAAGUGACAAUGCUUAACAGUGUGAUGCUAUAAAAACUAUUUUAGCUAAAGUAAGAUAGAGGCAAGUGGAAUUCCAUGUGUAGUAGUAAAAUGCGUAAAUAUAGGGAGGAACACCAGUAGCGAAGGCGGCUUGCUGGGUCUUUACUGACGAUGAGGCACGAAAGCGUGGGGAGCAAACAGGAUUAGAUACCCUGGUAGUCCACGCCGUAAACGAUGAGUACUAAAUGUUGGGUAAAACCAGUGUUGAAGUUAACACAUUAAGUACUCCGCCUGAGUAGUACGUACGCAAGUAUGAAACUUAAAGGAAUUGACGGGACUCCGCACAAGCGGUGGAUCAUGUUGUUUAAUUCGAAGGUACCCGAAAAACCUCACCAGGUCUUCACAUGCUUCUGCAAAGCUGUAGAAACACAGUGGAGGUUAUCAGUUGCACAGGUGGUACAGUGGUUGUCGUCAGCUCGUGUCGUGAGAUGUUGGGUUAAGUCCCGCAACGAGCGCAACCCUUAUUGUUAGUUGCCAGCACGUAAUGGUGGGGACUUUAGCAAGACUGCCAGUGAUAAAUUGGAGGAAGGUGGGGACGACGUCAAAUCAUCAUGCCCCUUAUGACCUGGGGUACAAACGUGAUACAAUGGCUGUUACAAAGGGUAGCUGAAACGCAAGUUUUUGGCGAUUUUCAAAAAAACAGUCUCAGUUCGGAUUGAGUCUGCACCUCGACUUCAUGAAGUUGGAAUCGCUAGUAAUCGCG
rnacentral:rRNA from 2 species